AGUGAACGUUGGCGGCGUGGAUUUGGCAUGCAAGUCGAGCGGGAGUAGCAAUACUCCAGCGGCGAAAGGGAGAGUAAUGCGUAGAUUACCUACCUCCAGGCCCGGGAUAGCCGUGGGAAACUGCGGGUAAUACCGGAUAAUGUCUCCGGACCAAAGGUGUGAUUCCGCCUGGAGACGGGUCUGCGUCCUAUCAGCUAGUUGGUGAGGUAACGGCUUACCAAGGCGACGACGGGUACGAGGCGUGAGAGCGUGUCCUCGCUCACUGGGACUGAGACACUGCCCAGACACCUACGGGUAGCUGCAGUCGAGAAUCUUCGUCAAUGGGCGCAAGCCUGAACGAGCGACGCCGCGUGCGGGAUGAAGGCCUUCGGGUUGUAAACCGCUGUCAGAGGGGAUGAAAUGCCGGUGGGUUCUCCCAUCGGUUUGACAGAUCCUCAGAGGAAGUACGGGCUAAGUUCGUGCCAGCCGCCGCCGUAAUAC
rnacentral:rRNA from 1 species